AUGCUCCUGAAUGAUGUCCACCUUCAUGAGCAAACCGAAGAUACCAUCAUCUGGAAGCACGCGAAUGACGGGAUAUACACGGCGGCCACUGCGUAUAAAGCUCAAUUCCUAGGCUUGACUCUUUCCCCCUUGGACCGUAUGGUUUGGAAGGCAUGGGCACCUCCAAAGGUUAAAUUCUUUGCGUGGUUGGCAAUACAAGAUAGGAUUUGGACCGCCGAUCGUUUACAGCGACGAGGUUGGCCAAAUUGUGGCCUCUGCAAACUUUGCAAUAGGGAGCAAGAAACGGGUGCCCACAUUUUCUUCAAGUGCCGCUUUACAAUUCGGAUAUGGAAGUCUCUCAUUGAGAGGCUUGGUCUCGCGCACAUAGAUACAUCCGAGUGGCACACAGAUGAAUCCGUCUACGAAUGGUGGGACAAGAGAACCGACAAUCGUAACCCCAACCAGCAAGCUUUGGCCUCUCUCACCAUACUUGUCUCCUGGACCAUUUGGAAUGAAAGAAAUGCACGGGUGUUUCGUCAUAAGAGUGCGCCAACGACCAUUCUUCUCACCGCCAUCGUCGACGAGGCCAAGCUUUGCGUGACCGUGGGCGCAAAGAAAUUAGGAGAUAUUUUUGUGGGCGAGUAA
rnacentral:rRNA from 1 species